AAACCAGCCAUUUGUGUUAAAUAUGUUUUAGGUGUUAAACAUUUCCCUCAAAGAAAAAAUGUCUUCCAUUUUUGCCUUUUUUCUCUCGAUAGGCUAACCGACUUAGUUUUCUCCUUCUCCUCCCCCUCUCAAAACCCUAAUUGCCACUGCGAGAAGAUCCUACUUCUCCUUUACUAUUUCAAAUCUUCUGAUCUCUUAUUUGUUCUUUUCUAUCAUUUCACUUUCUUCUUCUGCUAAUGGAAAGCUCUACUUCCUCUAACCCCAAUUUGCCUAAGCCUAAAAAACUGGUUGCAACUCUCCAAAAUUUAUGCUGCCAUUGUGGGAAAUUUUGACAUUGUGUAAAAUUCGGACAAGAUAGCACUUUCCUCAAUCCCAAUAUCAUAUAUCAACCUACCUAUUAAACAAACUCAAAUCAAAAGUUGGCAAUUUUUUCACACCUCUAGAUGUCCAACUAUUUGGGGCUCCUUCACAAUAUGCGCUGGUUGCAAAAUUUUCCAAUGGGAGGAGGCCCCAAAUGAGUUCAAUAUGCAAUCAUAUCAUGAGCAAAUGGAGCCUCUCGCAUCCUCUAAUUAUUGGCUUUAUUGAUUCUUGGCACAUAUUGAUAAAGAUCCAGUCUGCAAAUGAUCUAGAAAAGGCCUGAACGAGAGAUAUGCACUCAAUGGAGGGGCCAUGUUCAUAUUAUUUAAAUGAUCAAGGGAUUUCAGCCCCAUGGAAGAAUCACCUAUUGCUCCAGUAUGGGAGUAGCUUGGAUGAACUUUUCUAAAUUCUUGAACAAAUUAAUGAUAAUGCAUAUCAAGUGGAUCUUCCAGGUAAAUAUCAUGUUUCUACUAGUUUUAAUAUUACUAACUUUUUUCCUUUUCAUGCAGAUGAAAAUUCGAGGUUGAAUCCUUUUGAGGAGAGGGGGAAUGAUGGGCACCAAGGUGGAUCAAGUCUUAAAGAUCUUUUGCAAGUUCCAGAUUGGACAAUCAUAAAAUCAAGAUAUAGAAAGAUCAAGGAAGCUAUGCAAGAAUUGGUGAAAUUCACUUGGGAUGAAACAAGUAAGAGACCAACACUUAAGAUGGGCUUCAAAAAAGGAAAUCCAGUUUUGAUCCACUUGAUACAAACUAUAUAAGACAUGACUUAGAGUUAUUGUUUAGGUAUAUUAUUAUGUUUAUGUGAUUAAGGUUUUGAACUUGUUUAACUCAUUAAAAGCGUUUUUUAUUAGUUAUAUGAAUUAGUCUAGAAUAAUUGGGUUUGAGGAUACUUGGCCCACAUAUGUUUUA